rnacentral:lncRNA from 1 species
UUGAUAAAUUACAAUCUUCCAGCACUUUUCUAAAACCUUCCAUUCUCCUUUCCUUACGAAGUAAACCACUUUUUUCUCAAACCCAUAGAAUUUCGUUGAAGUCUCCACAUACCAUCCAUAGAAGUUCUUCAGCAUGAUUCAAUUGUCUUAAAAUCCUCCACGUUGCAUCUCUAUCUUGAUGGUCAGGUAAUCUAUAGAAUCCAGUAAAUCGCCAUUUAUGACAUUCAUCCACAUCUUCUAUUACCACAUCAAUAUGCCUUUUCGAAAAACUUUGGAGUUAAACAUUGAUAUCUCCUUUCCAAGCCAAACAUAACCCACCCCUAGAACCACUUGAGUCGACGCCAAUUCCAUUAAGAAAACCACAACUUAUAUGAACUCUUCCAUAUGACUUCUGCAAACUUUUGUCUCCAUAAAGAAGACUAUUUGAGGAUUAUAUAACUUCAAUGAAUGCCAAAGCCUACAAACUGUCCGUGGACUCCCCAAUCCACGGAUGUUCCAGCUUAAGAUUUUCAUUGCUUCCGGUCGGCAUGCCUUGUGGCAGCCACCGAUAAAUAGUUAACUUCCUUUACUCCCUUACUUCGUAUCACCUUAGAAUUGACCUCUUCACUUUCUGUUAAAUCUUCACAUUCCCUUCUAGCUCUCUUUUUACCUUCUUCUCCAAUUAACACACUAUCUUCAAGAUCAUGAUCUAUAGUAGUGGGCAAAUAAACUGGGAAGGAAUUGUCGCCCCCUUGAUGAGAAUUAUACACUCUCCCUUCCAAAUUAAAACCUAAAACAGGAUCAAUAUUAUUCUUGGUUUCAGCAUUUUUUCCAACAACCCCCAACGUGUUUCCUGGGAUUUGACGGCCCACUCGACUUCUUCCUCAUUCUUCUUCCCCUUCUUCACGUAACCAAAUGCUUUUCAUAGCAAGAGCUUUUCGAGACCGUGCUCUCAACGAUAAAUCCCAUCCCAUUUCAGUAAUUUCCACUCCUGCAACCAUUUUUGCUUCACAGAAAGAAUCAUUAUGGCCUAAUCUACCGCAGUAAAAACAAAAAAAGUGACAAUCUUUCAUAUUUAAAAUGAACAUAUGAGCAUUGUCCCUUAAACAUAAGAUGUUUCUUUCGUUUCAAAGGAUGACAAAUAUCAACUCGGACUCUUAUACGCAUAUAAUUACGAUUUUCUUUCCUCAAAUUAAAACCAUCAUACUCCAUAAAAACCCCUAUAAAAUUUCCAAGCUGUGAAGCCAGAUGUUCAGAGAAAAAUCUAAAAAGGAUAUUAUGAGUCUGAACCCAAAAGAGAGUAAGAAUUAGAGGGACUUUCAAUGGAUCCUCCCCCCACUGUAGCUUGUAUAAUACCAAUAAAUGAUUAUUAAAAGUCCAAUGAGGACCCUUCAAAACCCUUUCCAUAUCCAUAACGUGAAAAAACUGAAACAAAUACCUUUUCUCUCCCAGAUCUCGAAUUUGGACACUCCGUACAGGAUGCCACAGAUUUUCCAUGAUACUUUUCAUUGCUGGAAAGUGGAUGAUACUGGUUGUUAAGAAGCAACCCACUAGAUGAAAAACUCCUAUCUCCCUUUCUGCACUUUGCUCUACUUGUAUUUGCAAGAUCUCUUCUUCCUCAUCAUUAAUUGUUAAUCCAGCAAAUUCUGACUCCAUAAUCUCAGACCAAAUUUGAUUGAUUAUCACAAUUUUUGAACGAAAAGAAAGACAAUGGGUAAUACCACGUUGAAUAUCACAAUUGGCAAACGAACAUGAACCAAUGAGUAAUACCACGUUGAAAAUCGCUAUUUGCUAAUGAAAAGAAGCACUAGGUAAUACCAUGCCGUCCAACCCAAACAAUGACUAAAAAAAAAACUAAAUUCUGCUAGAGAGAGCAGACAGACACGUGCUAGGGUAGUAGACCUAUUUUUAGCAGACAUCAUAUUUAGGGGUUAUGUAAGGUUUUUGUUUUUGUUUUCUUACAUAAAAAAAAAUAAAUAUAAAAAUUA